CCAUGUGGCCCUGUCAGAGCAACCUCUCAAAGUUUCAGUUUCUCUUGCCCUAAAGCAAGGAGAAAAGUCUUGCCUUCCGGGGUGCUGUGGUGACUAAAGGGACAAGGACCGGGCCCAGGACAGGUUGUCAGUGCACAACUGAUUGGAAACAACUGAUUGGAAACUGAUUGGAAGCAGUCUCCCCAAGUGCUCUGACUCCUGGUCCCUGUCAUUUAAGACAGAGAAUGCACAGACGAAGAGCACAGUCUUUGGAACCAGGCUGCCUGGGAUCAAACCCUGGCUCCACUGCCCAAUAGCUGUGUGACCUUGGACAAGUUACCCACCUUCUCUGGGCCUCCAUUUUCUCUUUCGUAAAAUGGGGCAGUGAGGGAACUUAUGUUGUAGGGUUGGGGUGUAAAGCUCACUGCACACAUCGGGCAUGGCCUGCACACCUCCUGUUCUCACCCCGUGUUCUGCAGAUGGGACGGCCUCGGCCCUGACUGUACUGCUCUUCUGCACCUGUGUUUUCUGAGCCAUCAAAAGCAUCUCGAUCCUGGCCAGGUGCAGUGGCUCACGCCUGUAAUCCCAGCACCUUGGGAGGCCGAGGCGGGUGGAUCAUGAGGUCAGGAGUUCGAGACCAGCCUGACCAACAUGGUGAAACCCUGUCUCUACUAAAAAUACAAAAAUUAGCUGGGCGUGGUGGCGGGCACCUGUAAUCCCAGCUACUGAGGAUGCUGAGGCAGGAGAAUCGCUUGAACCCGGAGGCGGAGGUUGCAGUGAGCCUAGUUCACACCAUUGCGCUCCAGCCUGGGUGACAGAAUGAGACCCCGUCUAAAAAAAAAGAAAGGCAUCUCGAUUGCUAAACCCACUUCAGUUCUGAUUCCACUUUGCUUCUCACCAGCACGUAGCGCUGAUCAUGGUCUUUCCCCUGAAAUGCUCUUUUCCUGGGGUCAAAGGGAACCGAUGGCUGUAGGACAGGGAGAUCACUGGGGCAGGACAGUAUUGCAUUGGCUCCUUGGCAUUCUGGCAUACCAGGUGGGGAAAGGUUUGAGGCCUGUGAUGUGGGGUUGCCUGGGUCGGGAUAUCGCCUCCCCAUCUGCAUAAGAAGGGCCUCACAUUCAGUGGACUCUGCCUCAUCAGCUCUGAGCACCUGCUGAUAACAGUCCUGGAAAAGGGUUUGGUAACAAAAGCCAACAUUUCCCAGAGUCCUUGGCCAUAGGUGGAAAUUUGGGGAUGAGGAGGGGAUUUGGGAGGGAGGGGCUGCAGGUUGUGGGGCCACACUGGUGGGUAAAGAAAGCCAGAGAGUGGGGAGAGGAGAGGAACAAGUGAACAGACAAGGGAAUAGUAGGGGCGGGUGGGAGCAGCUUGGCCUGUAGUACCGUCUGUUCUGGAUUUGUGUUGCCCACAAACCCUAGCUUCUGAGCAGAGCCAGUUCCCAAGGACAACUUAGAAUCUUUAACACGCAAUUGAGACUUUGUUGUGCAUUUCCUGUAUUUCCUCAAAGGCUCCGUCCACGGGGAUUUUACUGCCCAGCAAAACGUCAGGAGAAUCUUUAAGCAUUUCUUCCUCCCUUCAGGUUUUCCCUCAUGGCGGCUGCUGUCUAGGCCUCCCUGGAGUCCCCUCGACUGUGCCUCAGCAUUUCCUUCAAACUCCUUCCUUUGGGAAGCCAGGUUCUCACGCAUGUCCUGUGCGCUGAGCAGCGUCCUUCUUUCCUUUUUUACAUCUUUCCAUUUUUAUGGAAAAAGAUAUAAAGCAUUCCAUUUUCACAUCUCAGCCUCAGAACGAGGACAUCUGAAGGCUCCAUGACAUUUGGAGGGGUAGGGAAGUGGACUCUCCCUUGUAUGCCAACAAAUUAGAUAGCUUGGAUGAAAUGGACUGAUUCAUAGAAAGACACAAGCUAUUGAAACUGACUCCAAAAGAAGUAAAAAAAUCUGAGCAGAACUAUGAUAUGGUUUGGCUCUGUGUCCCCACCCAAAUCUCAUGUUGAAUUGUAAUCUCCAGUGUUGGAGGAGGGACCUGGUGGAGGUGACUGGAUCAUGGAGGUGGAUUUCCCCCUUGCUGUUCUCCUGAUAGUGAGUGAGUUCUCACAAGAUCUGGUUGUUUGAAAGUGUGUAGCACCUCCCCCUUUGCUCUCUCUCCUGCCGGUCAUAUGAAGAUGUGCCUGCUUUCCCUUCACCUUCUGCCAUGACUGUUAAGUUUCCUGAGGCCUCCCAAGAAGCAGAACCAUGAGCUGAUUAAACCUGUCUCUUUCUUUCUUUCUUUCUCUCUCUCUCUCUCUCUCUCUCUCUUUCUUUCUUUCUUUCUUUCUUUCUUUCUUUCUUUCUUUCUUCUUUCUUUCUUUCAUUCUUUCAUUCUUUCUUUCUUUCUUUCUUUCUCUUUCUUUCUUCUCUCUUCUUCUUUUUCUUUCCUCUCUCUCUCUUUCUCUCUUUCUUUCUUUCUUACCCAAUGCCUGUACCAUUGCAUCUUGGAAGUAACUAACUUAUUUUUGAUUUUACAGGCUCACAGGCAGAAGGGAUUUGUCUUGUCUCAGAUGAGACUUUGUACUUGGACUUUUGAGUUAAUGCUGGAGUGAAUUAAGACUGUAGGGGACUGUUGGAAAGGCACAAUUGUGUUUUGAAAUGUGAGAAGGACAUGAGAUUUGGGAGGGGCCGGGGGUGGAAUGAUACAGUUUUGUCAGAGACAUUGAACCAGAGCAACUCUAUUUUGAAUUGGGGCUGAGUAAAAUAAGGCCUGGACCUACUGGGCUGCAUUCCAGGAGGUCAGGCAUCCUUAGUCGCUGGAUGAGAUAGGAGGUCAGCACAAGAUAUAGGUCACAAAGACCUUGCUGAUAAAACCAGCUGUGGCAAAGAAGCUGCCAAAACCCACCAAAACCAAGAUGGCGAUGAGAGUGACUGCUGGUGGUCCUCACAGCUCAUCAAACUCAAGUUACAAUACAUUAACAAGCUAGCAGACACUCCCCCAGCAACCAUGUCGGUUUACAAAUGACAUGGCACUGUCAGGAAGUUACCCUGUGUGGUCUAAAAAGGAGAGGAACCCUCAGUUCUGGGAAUUGCCCACCCCUUUCCUGGAAAACUCAUGAAUAAUCCACUCCUUGUUUAGCAUAUAAUCAAGAAGUAACCAUAAAAAUGGGCACCCUGGCUGGGCAUGGUGGCUCACACCUGUAAUCCCAGCACUUUGGGAGGCCGAGGCCAGUGGAUCACUUGAGGUCAGGAGUUCAAGACCAGCCUGGCCACAUGGUGAAACCCCGUCUCUACUAAAAAUAUAAAGUUAGCUGGGCGUGGCGGCAGACGCCUAUAGUCCCAGCUACUCAGGAGGCUGAGGCAGGAGAAUCGCUUGAAUCCGGGAGGCGGAGCUUGCAGUGAGCCAAGGUCGCACCACUGCACUCCAGCUUGGGUGACAGAGUGAGACUCUGUUUAAAAAAAAAAAAAAAUAGGCAGCCAGCAGCUCUUGGGUCUGCUCUGCCUAUGAAGUAGCCAUUUUUAUUCCUUUACUUUCUCAAUAAACUUGCUUUCACUUUA